AACGAACGCUGGCGGCAUGCCUAACACAUGCAAGUCGAACGAGACCUUCGGGUCUAGUGGCGCACGGGUGCGUAACGCGUGGGAACCUGCCCUUAGGUUCGGAAUAACUCCCCGAAAGGGGUGCUAAUACCGGAUAAUGUCUUCGGACCAAAGAUUUAUCGCCUUUGGAUGGGCCCGCGUUGGAUUAGCUUGUUGGUAGGGUAAAAGCCUACCAAGGCGACGAUCCAUAGCUGGUCUGAGAGGAUGAUCAGCCACACUGGGACUGGGACACGGCCCAGACUCCUACGGGAGGCAGCAGUGGGGAAUAUUGGACAAUGGGCGAAGGCCUGAUCCAGCAAUGCCGCGUGAGUGAUGAAGGCCUUAGGGUUGUAAAGCUCUUUUACCCGGGAUGAUAAUGACAGUACCGGGAGAAUAAGCUCCGGCUAACUCCGUG
rnacentral:rRNA from 1 species